rnacentral:rRNA from 1 species
CACGCCCUAAACGAUGUCGACUAGUUGUUCGGAGCGGUAACGCACUGAGUAACGUAGCUAACGCGUGAAGUCGACCGCCUGGGGAGUACGGUCGCAAGAUUAAAACUCAAAGGAAUUGACGGGGACCCGCACAAGCGGUGGAUGAUGUGGAUUAAUUCGAUGCAACGCGAAAAACCUUACCUACCCUUGACAUGUCUGGAAUCCUUGAGAGAUCAGGGAGUGCCUUCGGGAGCCAGAACACAGGUGC